rnacentral:rRNA from 1 species
GACAGGUGGUGCAUGGUUGUCGUCAGCUCGUGUCGUGAGAUGUUGGGUUAAGUCCCGCAACGAGCGCAACCCUCGUCGCAUGUUGCCAGCGGUUCGGCCGGGCACCCAUGCGAGACCGCCGGCGUUAAGCCGGAGGAAGGUGGGGAUGACGUCAAGUCCUCAUGGCCUUUAUGACUAGGGCUGCACACGUCCUACAAUGCCACGUACAAAGGGAAGCGAACUCGUGAGAGCAAGCAAAUCUCAAAAAACGUGGCCCAGUUCGGAUUGCAGGCUGCAACUCGCCUGCAUGAAGCCGGAAUCGCUAGUAAUCGCGGGUCAGCAUACCGCGGUGAAUGUGUUCCUGAGCCUUGUACACACCGCCCGUCAAGCCACCCGAGUCGAUUGCACCCGAAGUCGCCGGCCCAACCCGCAAGGGAGGGAGGCGCCGAAGGUGUGGUUGGUAAGGGGGGUGAAGUCGUAACAAGGUAGCCGUAGGAGAACCUGCGGCUGGAUCACCUCCUUAA